UUGUGAAGAAUCCAUUCCAUGAUCUGUACCAGUCUUUUAGAGUACCGAGUAUAGCAGCUAGGUCAUGUUAGUCCAUUCCAGGUUUUGGUUUUGACUGGAGAACUCAGCUACAAAUACAUGCUGUGUUCAGUGAGCUAGUGCUCCCUGGAAUUUUACUUUAAAAACUACAUACUGCAUCUGUGUGAUUCUUUCCAGAAGCUUCUAAUCAGUUAGGACACAGCAGGAGCCUUGCAUUAUCAUGGCCACUUGAGAUGUACCUGCAACUCUCUUUGACAGGCAGGCAUUUUGUCAAUGGAAGUUUCAGGCAAACAUUUGAGGGUGAAAUUUGACAGAAAACUGAUGGAAGGGCUUUAGCUGUGAGAGAGCCUUGACUCUGGAAUUCACUCCUGUACUCCUGAGUCUGUUAACCAUUCAGACACACUGCAAAGCCUAUUCCUGAGGGAGGAGUAUCAGAUGAUCUAGUAGUUCUGGGUGGCUUCAGCUUGAUUUUCAUUGUUUGGUUGGCUAUUUUCUGGGUUUGCGGGUGAGGAGAGAUUGCUGGAUUUACUCCUGUUUGUACAGAUGUCAAAAGAUCUUUGGAUAGGUGCUUUUAUUCUUUACAUAUGCAUUGAAAGAUACUCAAAUAAAAUCUGCACAAGAUGAAUAUUUCUGACUAUCUUCAAGCAAUUGGCAGUUGACCGCAUUGCAUGGCACCGCCCUGUAGGGUGGAUGUCCAUGACAUUGAGAAGAACCGUGUUGCUCAGCUGGAAGCACAAUGCCAGUUACUACGAGCCCCAGUCAUGGACCAGGACCCUUGCAGGACUCUUCUCACACCCACACCCACACCGCUCUGCCAAAAAUCCCUGGACACAUCCAAGCGCUGCCCCAUCUCUGUCCCUGCCUCCCACAGCCCUUCAGCAAGAGUCUGUCGCAGGGAAGGUGGGUCAGGAACUCACCAGCUGUCUGCGGAGCCCCAGGCAUCUCAUGCCCUGGCUGGGCAGAAGCAGGGGAACUGCCCAGGAAGAACCCUGGUGACUGAACGCCACAGCUGCCUCCACAGACAAGAGCCGCUUCCAGUACCAUGCACACCGGCCCCACAUGUCUCCAGAGGCACUGCCCAGAGCCCCCAAAGAGGCUGUGCAGUCAAGGCACCAAUCCCUGCUGGCAGCACCAGUGCAAACACCAAGAUGGUGCAUCUCGCUGCCCUUGGUAACAGCUAUUCAGGAGCAACGGCUGGGUGCUGCAGGGAAGGAGUGCUGGUUUCCAGGAGGGUAGACUGCAGGGGUGGGGUUGUGAGUCGAGCCAUUCAGGGGUAGCUGAAACUUUAACUUGUGCCCCUCCACUAUCAACAUAUACAGUUUGGGGAAGCAAGGCCCUCUAUAUCCUUCUUCCUCUCCCCCUCCCCCAAUCUCUGCCUAUGCUUUGGAGGCUGCUGUGGCAGUAAAAAAAGCCUUUGGUGGCCAUAUUUGAGAAACGCUGACCUAGAUACACCAACCUACUUCACCUAAGCGAAUAGGGUCUGCUCCUGAAAUUUCUUCCCCCAGGUCAUCAACAGAUGGCAGGCAAGAGCUUUCAGACCUUGACUUAUAAUAAUAAAGGGUUUAUCAUGACACUGCUAUGCUUGUCA
ensembl:lncRNA